GAUGAACGCUAGCGGGAGGCUUAAUACAUGCAAGUCGAACGGCAGCAUGGGACUUCGGUCCUGAUGGCGAGUGGCGCACGGGUGAGUAACGCGUACACAACCUACCUUAUAGACAGGGAUAGCCCUGGGAAACUGGGAUUAAUACCUGAUGUGGUCAUGAAUCUGCAUGGAUUUAUGAUUAAAGGAUUUAUUGCUAUAAGAUGGGUGUGCGUGCUAUUAGCUAGUUGGUGAGGUAACGGCUCACCAAGGCGACGAUAGCUAGGGGGCGUGAGAGCGUGGACCCCCACACGGGUACUGAGACACGGACCCGACUCCUACGGGAGGCAGCAGUAAGGAAUAUUGGACAAUGGGUGAGAGCCUGAUCCAGCCAUCCCGCGUGCAGGAUUGACGGCCCUAUGGGUUGUAAACUGCUUUUACAUAGGAAGAAAAGUUGUCAUUUAUGAUGAUCUGACGGUACUAUGGGAAUAAGCACCGGCUAACUCCG
rnacentral:rRNA from 1 species